ensembl:snoRNA
GGGCUGCGGGGCGGGCUGCAGCGCCAGAGCACAAGUUUGAACGUAACUGGGGCUGCCUGCCCACACUGUGGGUGGCCCUUUCAACCCCAGCAACACUG